GACAAGUUAACGGAGAUAAAAAUGGGGCCCGGAAAAGCCUGUUUAGGCUACCCCAUUUAAGCGAGGAAAUGUUUAUAAUUACAUUUCCUUUUUACUUUUAUUUUCCUUUGUUUUACAUUUUCUUUUCUCCUCGUCGAAGCCUUGCGCCCGAGCCCCUCACCCGUGCCUCUCUUCUCCCUCACUCCCGAACCCGACGCCGAAAAAGCCCUAACCGCCGGCGCUGGUGGUUUCUUUCCCCGUGUCCUCACCGCGCCUUUCUUCUUCUUCUCUUGUGCCCUAGAGAGCAGUGAGCCACCACCGCCGCUCCUCCCCGUUGCACACCGCGAGCCGACCUCUCCUCUACCCGCCGCCGCUGUGCCCUAGCCUCUGCCCCGACUCCAGCGACGCCGACUUCUUCCUCUGUGCCGAGCCCUAGCACUGUGCCCCUUUUUCUUCUUAGCCUCUCCUCCUUCGCACACCGUUGAGCGUCGCCCGACAUCUACUGGCGCCGCCCUUUCCCCUCUUCGGACCUGCACGCCGACGCUGAACCAUCGGUCACAGGACCACCAGAGGCGAUCGCUCUUCCUCUGGCCGGCACUUGAGUCAUCGCCGGUGCCCUAGCACCCUGGUUACUGCCGUCCCUCAGUCCGAGCAGAGCCGACCCUUUCCUUCUGCCAUAGCCGAGCCUCACCCCUUGCAUGAGUUGCUGCCUCGGGUUCUACCGAGCCUUUGGUUUAUGGUCAGUGGUUAAAUCUAGUACUAGCCACAGUUUUGGCAACGGGUGCAUCCUCGACAAAUUAACGACAAAGUAUACGGAUUUGGGACUUUGAUUCGAGGCGAGUAUUUCGAUUUGUCGGACUGGACCAUUUCGAUUGGAGGCGGGUACUUUUGACUUUUUGUCUUUGAUAUGCUUAGUAAUGAAAUUAACAUAUUGCAUUAAUUAUGUCCUUUAUUUGUUUCAGUUAGUCACUACCCAAUAU